UACGAAGGGGGCUAGCGUUGCUCGGAAUCACUGGGCGUAAAGCGCACGUAGGCGGACUCUUAAGUCAGGGGUGAAAUCCUGGAGCUCAACUCCAGAACUGCCUUUGAUACUGGGAGUCUUGAGUUCGGGAGAGGUGAGUGGAACUGCGAGUGUAGAGGUGAAAUUCGUAGAUAUUCGCAAGAACACCAGUGGCGAAGGCGGCUCACUGGGCCUUACCUGACGCUGAGGAGCGAAAGCGUGGGUAGCGAACAGG
rnacentral:rRNA from 1 species